CCAGCAAGAUCAUCUCCUCUUUCCUUCCGUUCAAUCUUGACCGCCGCAGAUAGAUAGAAACCUCCCUCUCCUCUCCCUCUGCAACCCCGAGCUAGCUCCUGCAUUCGAUCUCCUCAGCCGCGCAAUCGCAAUCUGCACCGGGAACCGACCGACCUCAUUAGACAACGCCCAUCUGCGCCGUGCAACGACGUGCUCGUUCUACAUAAUGGCGCCGCCACCGACUCCGACUCCGACCUACGACCCUAUUCUUGUUAUCAUUGUCGAUUCUGAUGGAGGCAUCAGGAUCAUCUGUAUUCAAAGCGAGGCCACGCAAUAGCAGCAGUUAUGGAAGCAUUCUAUGCGACGCUGCUACACAAAGUUGCACCCGAGACCGAUAUAAUCAUGCGUGACAGCAGCCAUGCUUGAACUGGGCAAAUGGCCGGAGGGGUAUCUGCCUAAAAUCAAGGCCAAGACCAAGACAAACCUCUCCCGUGCGCAAGAAAUUGACAUGUAAAAUUUGAACGGGUUGUUUCUGUACUCAUGUUUGCGGCAUAUGAACUGCUUGUGAAUCCAUCAGUUUGUGACAAACAAAAAGGAAGAUUUGUCACACGACGUUA